rnacentral:rRNA from 1 species
AAAUAUUAACUCACACCCAUCAACGCCCGGGUACUACGAGCCCCAGCUUAAAACCCAAAGGACUUGACGGUGUCCCAUCCACCUAGAGGAGCCUGUUCUAUAAUCGAUAAUCCCCGCUAAACCCAACCUCCUCUUGCAAUCAGUCUGUAUACCUCCGUCGUAAGCUUACCAUAUGAAUGACCCCAGUAAGCUAAAUGAUUAUAACACCCCAAUACGUCAGGUCAAGGUGCAGCUCAUGAGAAGGCAAGCAAUGGGCUACAAUUUCUAAUCUAGAACAAACGAAACACUGCAUGAAACUCAGCUGUGAAGGCGGAUUUAGUAGUAAAAAGAAAAUAGCGUGUUCUUUUUAACUAGGCCCUGGGACGUGU